GUGGAUUAGAUACCCUGGUAGUCCACGCCGUAAACGAUGGGUACUAGGUGUGGGAGGUAUCGACCCCUUCCGUGCCGCAGUUAACACAAUAAGUACCCCGCCUGGGGAGUACGGUCGCAAGAUUAAAACUCAAAGGAAUUGACGGGGGCCCGCACAAGCAGCGGAGCAUGUGGUUUAAUUCGAAGCAACGCGAAGAACCUUACCUAGACUUGACAUCUCCUGAAUAGUGCAGAGAUGCAUGAAGCCCUUCGGGGCAGGAAGACAGGUGGUGCAUGGCCGUCGUCAGCU
rnacentral:rRNA from 1 species